AGGAGGCAGCAGUGGGGAAUUUUGGACAAUGGGCGCAAGCCUGAUCCAGCCAUUCCGCGUGCGGGAAGAAGGCCUUCGGGUUGUAAACCGCUUUCGGCAGGGAAGAAACGGUGGGGGCUAAUACCUCCUGCUAAUGACGGUACCUGAAGAAGAAGCACCGGCUAACUACGUGCCAGCAGCCGCGGUAAUACGUAGGGUGCGAGCGUUAAUCGGAAUUACUGGGCGUAAAGCGUGCGCAGGCGGUUUUGUAAGACAGAUGUGAAAUCCCCGGGCUUAACCUGGGAACUGCGUUUGUGACUGCAAGACUUGAGUGCGGCAGAGGGGGGUGGAAUUCCACGUGUAGCAGUGAAAUGCGUAGAGAUGUGGAGGAACACCGAUGGCGAAGGCAGCCCCCUGGGUCGACACUGACGCUCAUGCACGAAAGCGUGGGGAGCAAACAGGAUUAGAUACCCUGGUAGU
rnacentral:rRNA from 1 species